rfam:Ictidomys tridecemlineatus contig049465, whole genome shotgun sequence.
GGGGUUGUGGCUCAGCCGUAGAGUGCUCAUCUAGCACAUGCGAGAUCCUGGGUUCAAUUCUCAGCACCCA